GAGUAACGCGUAGGUAAUCUACCCUUAUAUUUGGGAUAACAUUGGGAAACUGGUGCUAAUACCGGAUACCCUCUUUUCUGCCGGGUUAAGAAGGAAAGGUGGCCUCUUCAUGAAAGCUACCGUAUAGGGAUGAGCCUGCGUACCAUUAGCUAGUAGGUGGGGUAAUGGCCCACCUAGGCAACGAUGGUUAGCGGGUCUGAGAGGAUGAUCCGCCACACUGGAACUGGAACACGGACCAG
rnacentral:rRNA from 1 species